rnacentral:rRNA from 1 species
GGCUAGAGUCCGGUAGGGGAGCGUGGAAUUCCUGGUGUAGCGGUGAAAUGCGCAGAUAUCAGGAGGAACACCAGCGGCGAAGGCGGCGCUCUGGGCCGGUACUGACACUGAGGAGCGAAAGCGUGGGUAGCAAACAGGAUUAGAUACCCUGGUAGUCCACGCCGUAAACGUUGGGCACUAGGUGUGGGGUCUAUUCAACGGACUCCGUGCCGUCGCUAACGCAUUAAGUGCCCCGCCUGGGGAGUACGGCCGCAAGGCUAAAACUCAAAGGAAUUGACGGGGGCCCGCACAAGCAGCGGAGCAUGUUGCUUAAUUCGAGGCAACGCGAAGAACCUUACCUGGGUUUGACAUGUAGAGAAAAGCCACAGAGAUGUGGUGUCCUUCGGGGUUCUACACAGGUGGUGCAUGGUUGUCGUCAGCUCGUGUCGUGAGAUGUUGGGUUAAGUCCCGCAACGAGCGCAACCCUUGUCCUAUGUUGCCAGCACGUAAUGGUGGGGACUCGUAGGAGACUGCCGGGGUCAACUCGGAGGAAGGUGGGGAUGACGUCAAAUCAUCAUGCCCCUUAUAUCCAGGGCUGCAAACAUGCUACAAUGGCCGGUACAAAGGGCUGCUAAACCGCGAGGUGGAGCGAAUCCCAUAAAGCCGGUCUCAGUUCGGAUUGGAGUCUGCAACUCGACUCCAUGAAGCUGGAGUUGCUAGUAAUCCCGGAUCAGCAACGCCGGGGUGAAUACGUUCCCGGGCCUUGUACACACCGCCCGUCACACCAUGAAAGUUGGAAACGCCCGAAGCCAGUGGCCCAACCCUUUGGGAGGGAGCUGUCGAAGGUGGAAUCAGCGAUUAGGGUGAAGUCGUAACAAGGUAGCCGUACCGGAAGGUGCGGCUGGAUCACCUCCUUU